GGGCUCUGGGCUGGAGCCCAGGGCCAAGUAUCUACUCUCCAGGUUUAUAGCUCCGCAGCCCGAGUCAGCUGCCACGGGCAAGCUGUGGGUGUUUUACUGCAGUGUAGACACCCACUGGGAAUGAUAUAAUGGUAGCCACUCCCCCAUAGCUCUCAUUGUUGAAGUCUCUUUUUGGUAUCAUCUCAAUGGUGUUGCUGAAGAGCCAAAUGCAUCCCUGACUGGUUAAGGGAAGUGGGACACUGGUGGUGCAUCAUCAACUCUGGAAUCCUGCUGAGUCGGGAAGGAUUACCAUGCAAGAGGGAAGUGGUGAAUAUGUGCACAAGAGGGUGGCGGUAGGAGUGAUGCACUUUGUUUCCUUAAAAAGGAACAGCAUUUGCCCUGUGUUAGCUUGCAUGAAUGGCAUGCUAGAGCAUGCACGCUGAGGGGCCAGACCCUUAAAUGGCACCCUAAGCCCUCUUGGGCACAUAGUGUGUCUCUCAGAACGGGAGUCAGUCCCCCUGGCUUGACACUCUCUGGCGUGCUCUGCAGAGAACCUGCCCUGCUGUUUAAACCAUACAAAGAAGCUCCCUAAGAGGCUUCUUCUCCAUCUUCUCUUACCAAAGCAUAGCAGGAUCCAGCAGGGUCUGUCCUCCCUGCCAUGUAGUGCAUGUGUAACUGACAUUAGACUCAAUGGGGAGUCACAUGCACAUGUAAGGGGAGAACAGACCAUCACAGGAUUAUAAACAAGUCAAAGGAUUACAGAAUUUCCAAUCCCAGACAUCAUUUUCCACUCAGCACCGGUAGGAAUAUACUAGUGACGUCUCUUACCAGUACCCAGCAUUCUGGGGCUAUGCGACUGCAUCCCAUCUGUACUAGGGACCAACAAGCCAGUUCCUAGCCCUGGUCUAGACUACAGAGUUAGGUUGAUGCAAGGCAGCUUAGGUCAACCUCACUCUAUAAGUGUCUAUAUUAAAAUUUUGCUCCCGCCACCGUAACUCGCCUGCUACAUCACUUUAAUAACUCCACCUCCACAAGCGGUGUAGCGUUAAUGUCGAUGUAGUUAGGUUGACGCAGU